rnacentral:rRNA from 1 species
UACGAAGGGGGCUAGCGUUGUUCGGAAUUACUGGGCGUAAAGCGCACGUAGGCGGUUCGUUAUGUCGGAUGUGAAAGCCCUUGGCUUAACCGAGGAAGUGCAUCCGAAACUGGCGAGCUAGAGUACGAAAGAGGAUCGCGGAAUUCCCGGUGUAGAGGUGAAAUUCGUAGAUAUCGGGAGGAACACCGGUGGCGAAGGCGGCGACCUGGUCCAUUACUGACGCUGAGGCGCGACAGCGUGGGGAGCAAACAGG